CCUGUGUCCAGCAGAGCCAAUGCCAAGUGCCUCCAAGGGCCAACAUGCUGCUGGCCAAGGCCGGGCAGAUUAGAAAUUACAAACAACAAAAAAAGUUAUUGCACAGUUGUAAUCACAGCCACAGAAGAGUGGGGUGAGAACAUGUGAUGGGAAAAGCCCUGCAGACACCAGGGUCAGUGGGGAAGGAGGGGGAAAAGGGGCUCCAGACACCAGAGGAGCCCCACACCAGAGCAGGGGGGAUGUCUGAGAAAAGGCCCAUGGAGAGAGGAGUGCACGCUGGAGCAGCUUGCCCUUGAAGGACUGUACCCCAUGGAAGAGUGACCCACCCUGCCGCAGUUUGAGGGGGACUGCUGCCUGUGGGACAGACUCACAUCAGAGAAGUUCAUGGAGAACGGCCUCCUGUGAGGGGGAUGCCAUGUGACACCAACACAAGCCAGUUGAGCACAGAAAAUUACUUAGAACUUUUCUGCUUUCUUUGAGUUACAUCAAGAUUAUGUACUUCAUGAGCUUACAAGAGCUUUCCGAUUUUCAUCCUGCCAUGCUGGUGAGCAGAUUGGGGAUACAUGGGAAGUCACGGGUCCCUCUGUGUCCUCUGCAGCUUCACAAGGAAGAGAACAAGCAUGAGACCAAGACAAGAGAACUCUGGUUCAGCAAGGAUAACACAGAACAGCUUCAUUUAGCACAUUAUGGUUCUGGGAACAGUAAAGAGACAUCAUCAGGGAGAAGAGAGCAAUGCAUGGCUGCAGAACACAAAGAUCUGUGAGUUUCAGUGACAGAGAAAUAUACACAGGAGAGCUCCUGCAAGCACUUAGAGCACCUUGAAGCACACGAUGUUCAACUGGUGCCUGCAGGAGCUAAUUAAUACAAUGCUGAUAGCCUGGCAAGCAGAACUCUUAUGACAAAGGUGAGCACAUCUCUUGAAAUUACAGUUAUUGCCACUGUUUUCCCCCCAGAAGUCCUCAACACGGCUGCUGACAAACUCUAUGGAUGAUACUGUGUAUUUUUCUGCCUUCUGAAUCUUCUUCUUCUUCCAUCUAAGACAGCUGAUGAAGAGUUGAUUACAUCAGGAACUAAUAGUCACCAAAACAGAUGCAGGGGAACCACAGAGCAUGUUUUAGGAAAAAGUGAUCCUUGAUGUGUCUUAUCAACCCCAAUCCAGCUCUGAAGCAUUGGCUCCACUAUUGUCUGAACCAGUCCAGGAUGCAUUGCAGAAAGAGAAAGACAUCAAUUUUCCAGGCAAGUCUCAGUGCCCAAGUAGGAGACACUUUCCAAAGGAGAAUUGCUGGGAAUAUAGUGUCAUGGACAUCUCACACAGACAUGAAGACAUCCAUUUGGUAAAAGAGACCUUGACUAGCAUAUUGGGUCAGGUGUCCUAGUUCAUGUGGUGUGAACCACUAGCUAAGGUCUCCUGAGAACUUUUGCUUCACCUUCAGUGUGCCUUAUUGAAGUUACAUGCCAUCAUUUUAUUUAAACAUUUUAGCCUAUUGGCUCAAAGAGAGACUACUGUCCAUGGGAUUUCUCCUCAUCUUUUGUAAAAUGGUAUUUUCCAGCUGUUUCUGGGCAGUAGCAUUGGGUUUAAUGGGCAAAACGAGAAAAUUAAAUUACGUUUGCACAAACAAUAGCUCUUUCUUAAACUGCAACUGCUUACAUGCUGUGCAAACAGUGUGGGUUCUGUAGUAUCAGAAAGAUCUUGUUUGAAAAUCUGAAUUUUUGGAUUCAAGGUUUCUUACCUCUUGGAACGCCCUUAGGAACUCCAGAAGCUGAAGGAGUUAAUAAAGCACCCACCUUCACCUCCAGAAGAAUCAAAGCAACUCAGUGUCCAUGGGUCACUGUUUCACUACAAAAGAAAUCACUAGCUGAAUGGUUAGGACACUUCAAGGCAUGCCUCUGGGAGGAGGCAGAAUAAUUCAUGCCUGUCAAAAGGAAAUUCUCUGCCCAGCAGUACCAGCCCUUCUACAGAUCCUUUGCAGAGUGGCAGGAAAUUCCUCUCCAGCCCCUAAAUUUGCUGGACACUUCCCAGUGCCCAGCUCCAUGAAGACUGUCUGUACACAGCCCUGAAUUUUUCUUCCUUUUGAGGCAGUGAUAUUUGAGUUUCUGAGUCACAGAUUCUUAUGGACAGCUGUUUGUGCACAGGGUUCUCAGGGCCUGCCACUGAUGUAACUUCAGGUUAAUGUACAGACACCAAAGGGGAAGAAGUAGAAGAGCAGCAUGAAAGCAUGUUUUGUUAGUUCAAUUAACCAGAAGAUCUGCUUCUGUAAUACCUUUCCAGCUCCCUGAAUAUACCAAUUUCCCUUCUUCAGUGAUUCCCAGGUUUCAUCUGCUUGGUCUGCUAUUUUGCUGGUUGUCCUCCAUGUGUAACUCUUCCAAAAACAAGCCUCUUCCCUCCAUUGUACUCACAUAGGUUAUCACACAUGUUUGCAAAUACUGUGUAAUGUUCAGCCACAGUGUUCCAGGAAAGCUCUGGUGCAUUUUGAAUGUAAAUUUUCUGGUCCUCAUCAUUCACACUUUUUGAUAGCACAGCCAAGCACAAAAGAGCCCAGCAAAAUAGCUGCUGGCAAUGAUGUUAAACUAGAGGAAUACA